UGGGGACCUGCCCAGUGGUAGGGGAUAACUGCGGGAAACUGCAGCUAAUACCCUAUGUGUCCUAUGGGAGAAAGAUUUAUCGCCAUUGGAGGGGCCCGCGUCGGAUUAGGUAGUUGGUGGGGUAAUGGCCCACCAAGCCUGCGAUCCGUAGCUGGUCUGAGAGGAUGAUCAGCCACACUGGGACUGAGACACGGCCCAGACUCCUACGGGAGGCAG
rnacentral:rRNA from 1 species